CCUACGGGUGGCAGCAGUGGGGAAUAUUGGGCAAUGGGCGCAAGCCUGACCCAGCAACGCCGCGUGAAGGAAGAAGGCUUUCGGGUUGUAAACUUCUUUUCUCAGGGACGAAGCAAGUGACGGUACCUGAGGAAUAAGCCUCGGCUAACUACGUGCCAGCAGCCGCGGUAAUACGUAGGUGGCAAGCGUUAUCCGGAUUCACUGGGUGUAAAGGGCGUGUAGGCGGGACUGCAAGUCAGAUGUGAAAACCACGGGCUCAACCUGAGACCUGCAUUUGAAACUGUAGUUCUUGAGUACUGGAGAGGCAGACGGAAUUCGUGGUGUAGCGGUGAAAUGCGUAGAUAUUAGGAGGAACACCAGUGGCGAAGGCGGUCUGCUGGACAGCAACUGACGCUGAGGCGCGAAAGCGUGGGGAGCAAACAGGAUUAGAUACCCGUGUAGUC
rnacentral:rRNA from 1 species